rnacentral:rRNA from 1 species
GAUCGCGGUGAUGCGGGCUGUUCGCUGCCCGCACAUUGCGAGAAGUCCACUGAACCUUAUCAUUUAGAGGAAGGAGAAGUCGUAACAAGGUUUCCGUAGGUGAACCUGCGGAAGGAUCAUUG